GUGGCAGCAGCCGCGGUAAUACGAAGGGGGCUAGCGUUGUUCGGAUUUACUGGGCGUAAAGCGCACGUAGGCGGAUCUUUAAGUCGGGGGUGAAAUCCCGGGGCUCAACCCCGGAACUGCCUUCGAUACUGGGGAUCUUGAGUCCGGAAGAGGUGAGUGGAACUCCUAGUGUAGAGGUGGAAUUCGUAGAUAUUAGGAAGAACACCAGUGGCGAAGGCGGCUCACUGGUCCGGUACUGACGCUGAGGUGCGAAAGCGUGGGGAGCAAACAGGAUUAGAUACCCCGGUAGUC
rnacentral:rRNA from 1 species